rnacentral:lncRNA from 1 species
AAUGCUGUACAUUAUGUAAGCUGCAACUUCAAUGUGUACUUGUGGCCUUAUUGAAGUGAAGGCCUAUAUGUGUGCAAUUGUAUUCUUAUUGCAGGAUGGUCUUCCAUAAGGUGUGGAGGUGCCAGCAUAACAGCCGCAAUAAGACCUCCACAAAGCCUCUCAACAGAAACACAAAUUGCCCCGCAAAAAUAGACAUAAAAAUUUAAAAAUUGAACAGAGACACAAAAAAGAAUGACGCUUUCCUGAGUGGGCCCACACCUCUGCAAACAGUCUUAAAAUUGGCAGGCUAAUGCAAUCACAGCACACAAUCUGCAGAAGCAUUGCGCAUGCUGCGUCCCACACAAGAAACAAAGGCUGUAUUCAUAGAAUACUUUGAGAGUGGCAUCGGACCUGCUGACGCCAUUCGCAGCCAUGAGGAAUCUCUUUCUGCAAAGCCUGAUGGCCCUCUCCUGCUUGCUAACGGCAGCAUAAACCCAAUCAGCAGGAGUGUAUAUUACUGGCAUGAGGAGUGGAGAACUGCAAAAUAUGGUCCAUCGGGAAAUCCGCUUCCAAAGCUGCUUGGGAAGGUGGACGAGUAUGCAACUGUAGGCACAGAUGUUUUCACAAGAAGUCUGUCCAGCGACUGCUGAGCGGUCCUUGUUGUGACACAGAUUAUGCACCGAGCCCAGCGCCUGGAGUCAGCACGAAAUAUCAUCUUUGUAGAUUCAACAUCGUCCUGUGAUGCAGAUGGCAGCACAGCCACUGUGCUGCUCACAUUUACCAAAGCUGGGGCGGCGCCAAUAGCCGUGCUUGUUCACAGCUCCCAGAGCAGGGAGGGAUAUGUCACUGCCUUUGAGCUUUUGAAGCAAAGAUACCCAUUUUGCUUCUGCAACGAAGAGGCACCAGAGGGAUUCAUGAGUGACCAACUCCAGCGCGGAAAAGGGUGCCCUAGGUGAUAUAUGGCCAUCGGCAAAACAGCUUCUAUGUUCAUUCCACGUACUUCAGGCAGAGUGGCGAUGGCUCAUGUCUGCACGGAACAAUGUAACAAAAGAUAAUCGUCAUCAGUACAUGGAGUACUUUCAGAAGGUAAAAAAAUUUUGUUGGCAUUCACGAAACACAUAAAUCAAAUUUGAACAGUUCCCGAAUGAGACACGCUAGGACAUUACUGCUUAGGUAAAAAUAGCUUCCAAUUACUUUAUCCACUUGUG